AGAGUUUGAUCAUGGCUCAGAUUGAACGCUGGCGGCAGGCCUAACACAUGCAAGUCGAACGGUAACAGGAAGCAGCUUGCUGCUUUGCUGACGAGUGGCGGACGGGUGAGUAAUGUCUGGGAAACUGCCUGAUGGAGGGGGAUAACUACUGGAAACGGUGGCUAAUACCGCAUAACGUCGCAAGACCAAAGAGGGGGACCUUCGGGCCUCUUGCCAUCAGAUGUGCCCAGAUGGGAUUAGCUAGUUGGUGAGGUAACGGCUCACCAAGGCGACGAUCCCUAGCUGGUCUGAGAGGAUGACCAGCCACACUGGAACUGAGACACGGUCCAGACUCCUACGGGAGGCAGCAGUGGGGAAUAUUGCACAAUGGGCGCAAGCCUGAUGCAGCCAUGCCGCGUGUAUGAAGAAGGCCUUCGGGUUGUAAAGUACUUUCAGCGGGGAGGAAGGUGUUGUGGUUAAUAACCGCAGCAAUUGACGUUACCCGCAGAAGAAGCACCGGCUAACUCCGUGCCAGCAGCCGCGGUAAUACGGAGGGUGCAAGCGUUAAUCGGAAUUACUGGGCGUAAAGCGCACGCAGGCGGUCUGUCAAGUCGGAUGUGAAAUCCCCGGGCUCAACCUGGGAACUGCAUUCGAAACUGGCAGGCUUGAGUCUUGUAGAGGGGGGUAGAAUUCCAGGUGUAGCGGUGAAAUGCGUAGAGAUCUGGAGGAAUACCGGUGGCGAAGGCGGCCCCCUGGACAAAGACUGACGCUCAGGUGCGAAAGCGUGGGGAGCAAACAGGAUUAGAUACCCUGGUAGUCCACGCCGUAAACGAUGUCUACUUGGAGGUUGUGCCCUUGAGGCGUGGCUUCCGGAGCUAACGCGUUAAGUAGACCGCCUGGGGAGUACGGCCGCAAGGUUAAAACUCAAAUGAAUUGACGGGGGCCCGCACAAGCGGUGGAGCAUGUGGUUUAAUUCGAUGCAACGCGAAGAACCUUACCUGGUCUUGACAUCCACAGAACUUUCCAGAGAUGGAUUGGUGCCUUCGGGAACUGUGAGACAGGUGCUGCAUGGCUGUCGUCAGCUCGUGUUGUGAAAUGUUGGGUUAAGUCCCGCAACGAGCGCAACCCUUAUCCUUUGUUGCCAGCGGUUAGGCCGGGAACUCAAAGGAGACUGCCAGUGAUAAACUGGAGGAAGGUGGGGAUGACGUCAAGUCAUCAUGGCCCUUACGACCAGGGCUACACACGUGCUACAAUGGCGCAUACAAAGAGAAGCGACCUCGCGAGAGCAAGCGGACCUCAUAAAGUGCGUCGUAGUCCGGAUUGGAGUCUGCAACUCGACUCCAUGAAGUCGGAAUCGCUAGUAAUCGUGGAUCAGAAUGCCACGGUGAAUACGUUCCCGGGCCUUGUACACACCGCCCGUCACACCAUGGGAGUGGGUUGCAAAAGAAGUAGGUAGCUUAACCUUCGGGAGGGCGCUUACCACUUUGUGAUUCAUGACUGGGGUGAAGUCGUAACAAGGUAACCGUAGGGGAACCUGCGGUUG
rnacentral:rRNA from 6 species